rfam:Pseudomonas entomophila str. L48 chromosome,complete sequence.
GUCUGACACGGCCCGACGGUGGCAAGUCUUGCCCCGACGUAUGGCCGUGGCGCGAUGAC